ensembl:lncRNA MUC20-OT1 MUC20 overlapping transcript
GAAAGUCACUACGCUGCGUAAGAGAAGCCAAAUAAAGCGCAUGCUGUGUACAGAGGGUGUCGAGAAUGCCUCCUACGUGACGGAAAGCAGAUCCGUGGUUCCCUGCAGACUGGCAGGAGCAGAUUCCAAAGGCACAGGAAGAAGCUUGCAGGCAGCUGCUCCCAACCCCAGAACCUUUGCUGUCUUGGGACGGAUCACCGCUGCAAGAGGGGAAGUUGCUACUGUGAUGAAUUCUGCCAUGUGGCACCAGACUGCCACCCAGACCACAGUGUCCUCUGCAACCCUGCUUCUCAGAUGACCAAGAUGGUGCUGCAGAUGGUGCUGAGGAUGGAGAACCCACCAAGCCCCGCUAGGAGCCACCUAGACUGGAUGCAGAGCAUGGUUCAGCGAGUUCUCCAAACCAGCCUCCCAGGAAUGCCAUUCACCAUGGCUGUGAGGAGAAUAAAGAAGAGAGCCUGACUCCUCUUCUGAGGCCCCUUCCCCACC